rnacentral:rRNA from 1 species
GACAGAGGGUGCAAACGUUGUUCGGAAUUACUGGGCGUAAAGCGUGUGUAGGCGGCUUUGUAAGUCGGAUGUGAAAGCCCCGGGCUCAACCCGGGAAUGGCAUUUGGGACUGCAAGGCUAGAGUGCGGCAGAGGAGACUGGAAUUCCUGGUGUAGCAGUGAAAUGCGUAGAUAUCAGGAGGAAUACCGAUGGCGAAGGCAGGUCUCUGGGCUGACACUGACGCUCAUGCACGAAAGCGUGGGGAGCAAACAGG